UACGAAGGGGGCUAGCGUUGCUCGGAAUCACUGGGCGUAAAGCGCACGUAGGCGGAUUGUUAAGUCAGGGGUGAAAUCCUGGAGCUCAACUCCAGAACUGCCUUUGAUACUGGCGAUCUCGAGUCCGGGAGAGGUGAGUGGAACUGCGAGUGUAGAGGUGAAAUUCGUAGAUAUUCGCAAGAACACCAGUGGCGAAGGCGGCUCAUUGGCCCGGUACUGACGCUGAGGUGCGAAAGCGUGGGGGAGCAAACAGG
rnacentral:rRNA from 1 species